CCUCAUGGGGGCUGGCUUCCUCCUCACCUACGUCCUCACCUGGCUCUACUACACCAGGUGUGGAGGCCGCCGGAACAGGAGGCAGAGCUCCUGAUGGAUCCUCCCUUCCUCUCAAGAUGGGACUGAGGUGUGGACACCAGGCGAGAGGGACCGUCCUGGGACGUCAAUGUCACCUUCUCCCUGGAAGCUCUUGACUCACCUGCCUCCCAUGUGCCCCUGGGGUUUCAGUGUGUGGAAGUGACUGAGUGACCACAAGGGGAGUCAGUGCCAUGGAGAGAAGACUUUUCCUCCUUUCACCUCCUGAGAGGAGGGGCCGCUGUGCCCGGGAAGCCCUGGAUUUCCUCAGGAAGCAGAUGCAGGUGCAGAGCAGCCUAGCGAAGGCCUUCAUUGGGUUUCCCAUGGGAAACACAAGGCAGGGCAGGGUGAGCAGUUCAGGACCAGCUGGUGUGUGUCAGUCUGGGGGAUGGGCCUGUGGGCGUGGUCUCCAUGUGUCUGGUCCCAGGUGCUGGGUGAUUGGGGGCAGGUGGGGAGGCUGGGAAUACGGGUUCAGGUUGGGUUGGUUUGCAUCUGAAAUUCUUUGCUGUCUCUGAGAAUGGGCGGGCCCUGGGAGGCCCUGUGUCUCCUUGGCUUCCAAUCUGCUUAAUGGCUCAAAACAUCCUGAGAUACAGAAAUAAACAAUAAUACACACCCA